rnacentral:rRNA from 1 species
AGCAGCCGCGGUAAUUCCAGCUCCAAUAGCGUAUAUUAAAGUUGUUGCAGUUAAAAAGCUCGUAGUUGAAUUUCGGGGUUAGUAAGUUGGUCAUGCCUUCGGUAUGUACUGGCUUUACUGAUUCCUCCUUCUUGACGAACCGUGAUGUCAUUAAUUUGGUGUUGCGGGAAAUCAGGACUGUUACUUUGAAAAAAUUAGAGUGUUUAAAGCAGGCUAACGCUUGAAUACAUUAGCAUGGAAUAAUGAAAUAGGACGUUAAUCCUAUUUUGUUGGUUUCUAGGAUCGACGUAAUGAUUAAUAGGGAUAGUUGGGGGCAUUAGUAUUCAAUUGUCAGAGGUGAAAUUCUUGGAUUUAUUGAAGACUAACUACUGCGAAAGCAUUUGCCAAGGAUGUUUUCAUUAAUCAAGAACGAAAGUUAGGGGAUCGAAGACGAUCAGAUACCGUCGUAGUCUUAACCAUAAACUAUGCCGACUAGGGAUCGGAUGAUGUUAAUUCUUUAAUGACUCAUUCGGCGCCUUACG